rnacentral:rRNA from 1 species
GGUUUGUAAAGCUCUUUCGGCCCGGGAAGAAAUCGCAUCAGCUAAUACCUGGUGUGGAUGCCGGUACCGGGAAUAAGAAGCACCGGCUAACUUACGUGCCAGCAGCCGCGGUAAUACGUAGGGUGCGAGCGUUUAAUCGGAAUUACUGGCGUAAAGCGUGCCCAGCCGGUUGUUUAGACCAGGCGUGAAAUCCCCGGGCUCAACCUGGGAACUGCGCUUGUGACUGCACAGCUAGAGUACGCCAGAGGGGGGUGGAAUUCCACGUGUAGCAGUGAAAUGCGUAGAGAUGUGGAGGAACACCGAUGGCGAAGGCAGCCCCCUGGGCCGAUACUGACGCUCAUGCACGAAAGCGUGGGUAGCAAACAGGAUUAGAUACCCUGGUAGUCCACGCCCUAAACGAUGUCAACUAGGUGUUGGGUGGGUAAAACCAUUUAGUACCGUAGCUAGCGCGUGAAGUUGACCGCCUGGGGAGUACGGCCGCAAGGUUGAAACUCAAAGGAAUUGUCGGUACCAGCACUUAUCGCUGGAAAAAACUGUUCUUGAUUCGACGCAUCAGCGAAGACUACUCUAACAUGACUCCAUCGACUUUUCCAAGAAGCUCGUGACGAUUUAGAACCUCCCGAAAGGGAACAAAGAACACCAGUAAAGAGGG